rnacentral:rRNA from 1 species
GAUGAACGCUGGCGGCGUGCCUAAUACAUGCAAGUCGAGCGAACAGACGAGGAGCUUGCUCCUCUGACGUUAGCGGCGGACGGGUGAGUAACACGUGGAUAACCUACCUAUAAUACUGGGAUAACUUCGGGAAACCGGAGCUAAUACCGGAUAAUAUAUUGAACCGCAUGGUUCAAUAGUGAAAGACGGUUUUGCUGUCACUUAUAGAUGGAUCCGCGCCGCAUUAGCUAGUUGGUAAGGUAACGGCUUACCAAGGCAACGAUGCGUAGCCGACCUGAGAGGGUGAUCGGCCACACUGGAACUGAGACACGGUCCAGACUCCUACGGGAGGCAGCAGUAGGGAAUCUUCGGCAAUGGGCGAAAGCCUGACGGAGCAACGCCGCGUGAGUGAUGAAGGUCUUCGGAUCGUAAAACUCUGUUAUUAGGGAAGAACAAAUGUGUAAGUAACUAUGCACGUCUUGACGGUACCUAAUCAGAAAGCCACGGCUAACUACGUG